UCCUUUUGGCUCAGUGUGUAAAGCAUUGUGCUAGCAACGUAAAGGUAUUGGGUUCAAACCCCAGGGAAAGCAA